rnacentral:rRNA from 1 species
UACGUAGGGGGCAAGCGUUGUCCGGAUUUAUUGGGCGUAAAGAGCGUGUAGGCGGCCAGGCAGGUCCGCUGUGAAAACUCGAGGCUCAACCUCGAGAGGUCGGUGGAAACCGUCUGGCUAGAGUCCGGGAGAGGAGAGUGGAAUUCCCGGUGUAGCGGUGAAAUGCGCAGAUAUCGGGAAGAACACCCGUGGCGAAGGCGGCUCUCUGGGACGGUACUGACGCUGAGACGCGAAAGCGUGGGGAGCAAACCGG